rnacentral:rRNA from 1 species
GCACAAGCGGUGGAGUAUGUGGUUUAAUUCGAUGCAACGCGAAGAACUUACCUGGUCUUGACAUCCCGGAGACCCUUAGGAAACUAGGGGUGCUUCCAUCUGGAAGAAUCUGGAGACAGGUGCUGCAUGGCUGUCGUCAGCUCGUGUCGUGAGAUGUUGGGUUAAGUCCCGCAACGAGCGCAACCCUUGCCUUUAGUUGCCAGCAGUUCGGCUGGGCACUCUAAAGGGACUGCCGGUGUUAAACCGGAGGAAGGUGGGGAUGACGUCAAGUCCUCAUGGCCUUUAUGACCAGGGCUACACACGUACUACAAUGGCCGAUACAAAGGGCAGCGACACUGCGAGGUGAAGCCAAUCCCGUAAAAUCGGUCUCAGUCCGGAUUGGAGUCUGCAACUCGACUCCAUGAAGUUGGAAUCGCUAGUAAUCGUGGAUCAGCAUGCCACGGUGAAUACGUUCCCGGGCCUU